UUACAACUUGGGUUGUUCCGUUCAGGACGUUAAUUUACGUUAAAUAACUAUUUAGUGUGAAUUAAGGAUCAAUUUGUACGGAGCCCCUAAAGCGACAUAGUCUCCAGUUCACAGUUUAACUCGCAGAAUAUUUCGGGCUGCUGUGGAAACACCUGAGCUAUUUAUGCUGUUUCUAGUACAAAGUCGUCACUGUUACAGUAUGUUGUUUAGGAAAAACACUUAAAAUGAAUCUUUAUGGGCUACGUAAAUGUGUGAAGGCACUGAUGGAUAAAAACACAUCAAAACACUUCAUAUAAAGUUUGGAUUAUGUAAACAAAAUCAAUUGAAAGAAGGUGUAGGUUUGUAGAUAAUUUCCUUACCAACAUCAACUGAAAUAAACUUCUAAAAACGUUUGAAUCAGUGUGGUGCAGAAUCCAGUCCCUUUCCACUGUUCGCUUACAUUUACUGUAAUAUUACACCUGUAAUAAACCAGUCAUACAGUCUGAAGUUACUUAGAAAAUACCAUUUUAAAUAUAUUGAUUACAAGGGUUGUAAAUUUGAAUGUGACCAGAGUAUGUUAGUAUAGAGAUAUCAGAACAGUGAUGAUGUUAAAAUAAAGCUUUUACAAAAAGUUAAAACAUAAAAAAAAACAGACAAAAUACAAAAGACAUCAAUAGUUACACAUUUUAUUCCAUAAAACCAUACUUGCCUAAAUGUGUAUAAAUCAGAACUCCACAGGGCGGACCGGCUGCAUUUCUGCUCACUGACGGAGAGAUAAACUCAGUGUCUUCACCUCCUGAAAACUACGUCACACGGUGGUUGAACAUGACAUCAGAAAAACUUUUCCCCACAGUGGGGCCAAAUGGAAGAAAAUCAUUUGAAAUACACUAAAUAAAACAAUUUGAAAUGAUAAAAAGGCAAAUUUAAGCACUUAUUAAUAGGCAAACUGGUGAUAAAUCUGGACACAACAAAUGGCUAAAAUCUGCUCCAUACGAAAUGUGAUGUUUACUACUUUCAGUUAUUAUACAUGUAAAGUUUAUUUUCUCUUUUUGUGAUAUUUCAGAUUGACCCUGACCUCUUCUUGAAAUAGAACAGCUCCUCAGGUCAGAAAAGUGGCUCGGUUUUAAAAUGAAGUGUAGAAAUAUUUUCCACUAUAUGACCUUAAAUUACAGACAGAUGAUCCUGAAAAUGUUUACGGAAAACUAAUUUCAAUCUAAAGAAAAAGUCCCAAAGGUCAGAGGUUAAAAUCUCACUUAAUGCCAGAGCUCUGCCCCUGCUGAACUACAUGUGCACUUUGCUAAGGGUAAUAAAUACAGAUAUACAACCGUAACUAAAACAGCAUUAACUAUAAAUAUUCUUCUGAUAUUUAAACAUACAAUAUCACUGAUGAAGGUGUAGAUUUCUCAUAUCUACUGAAAUAUCAAACUUUAGACGUGAAUUCUCCAUAGCAACAGCUUCAUGCUGGUUUAAUGUUCAACAGGAGGCUUUAAACCACCUGAUCCAGACAGAAAGGUCUCCAUAGAUGUGGAUCUCUGUGUUCUAGCCGUUUGGGAACACAAAGAACAACAGCUAAAAACCUGAAGAGCUCACCAACCCGCCGUCAGACUGUCAUGUUAGCUGCUGAUGUAGAUCAAAUUCAUUAGUCUGGGUCUCCAUGGCAACCUUAAACCCGAUGGUGGCUGCGUUGGGGUUGGCUGCAGCCUCGUGAGCAGGUCGUACAGACUUUCAGUGAUCAGCGUGUGAGCUUUCUGCUUUCAUGUGACUUUAAGUGAGAGCUGCAGGAUGAUGAUCCAUGACUGAUCAAACCUGUAACACAAGGUGGAAGCGACUUGUUGGUUUGUUGGAUCUUCUGCAGAUUUCACUGUUUUAUGAUUGUCUGAUGGCUGCAGGCAGGUCUGCUCAGUAACGGUGCAGUUUCUGCCAUUAGCUCCCUGAUGGUGAUUUCUGCAGCAACCUGCAGGCAGAAGCAGCAUUUUGAUGCAGAAACACUGCAGACGUAUCACUGGCACUGUGGAGUCCAGCAGCCUAUAAACGCUGACUCACAGAGUCAGAUUAUCUGCCAGAUUGUCAACAUUGAAGCAUGACUGGAAACCUGAAGUGAAACUUCUCUGAAGAGACGCUUUCAGAGGUCAGAGCCCGUAACUUUGCAUCAGGUUAUUUCCCAGAAGGAGAAACUGUGAUGUUGCCUUUUUUAGCCAGAAUAAACCCAUUCAGCAUGUUGGA